rnacentral:rRNA from 1 species
UCUGAAGAGAGAGUAAACAGUACGUGAAACCGCAUGCAGGUAAACGGGUGGCGUCAAGCUGCGAGCCCGGAGAAUUCAGCUGGUCAGAUUGUAGUGUGCGCGCCUGUGGCGUCGAAGGGCCGGAGUAAGAUGUGGUAGUCCACUCCUCCCAUGGGGGUGGGGCGUAGCUGCGACCUCGGUUGUGGCUAUUGCUACGCGUGCCGAGUUGUGUGUCGGAGCGUGCUACUCGUCUGUGGGGCCGUCUGGUCAGUGCACUUUCUCUGUGGUGAACACCACGACCGGUGGUAUUGCCAGUCUACUGUGGCCAAGUCGUGUCUCCCUGAUGGCCCUGUUGUCCUCCCUUGGAUGGUAGUGGCUAUUUGGAGGACGCGAUCGCAGAUGGGAGGGAUGUACGGCGUGGCAGUGUUUCGGCGCUGUUGCGUGCUAUCGUGCAUUCACCGUCAACGGGGUGUUGGAGUGGGCUGUGAUUGCACUCCUGGGCACCUCGGCGGGCCAUGGUGGUGAAAGUGACUGUGCAAGGCACCGUGUUCAACCGCCUCAGCUGAUUGGUCGGCCUUCUGGGUUGUCCGAUUGGCUCAUGGUAUCUGGCACGCACAUCACAGGUGCAAGAUAGGGGGUGCGCCUCUGUCCGUGCGCGCUGGGCUUGGCUAGCGUGUUGCUCGCGCAAAGUGGGUCCGCUGGUGGUCUAGCGUGUUAUUAUUACAGUGGGCAGGGUUGCGUGCCACCAGGUGCCACAUUUGCUAUGGAUACCGGGGGCGAGAUAGUCAGUGGUGCUGUGGUAGACGAGCUACCCGACCCGUCUUGAAC